UACGUAGGGAGCAAGCGUUGUUCGGAUUUACUGGGCGUAAAGGGCGCGUAGGCGGCGCGGUAAGUCACUUGUGAAAUCUCUGAGCUUAACUCAGAACGGCCAAGUGAUACUGCGGGGCUAGAGUGCAGAAGGGGCAACUGGAAUUCUCGGUGUAGCGGUGAAAUGCGUAGAUAUCGAGAGGAACACCUGCGGCGAAGGCGGGUUGCUGGGCUGACACUGACGCUGAGGCGCGAAAGCGUGGGGAGCGAACGGG
rnacentral:rRNA from 1 species